AGGGUUCGAUCAUGGCUCAGAACGUACGCUGGCGGCACGCCUAACACAUGCAAGUCGAACGAAGUAGCAAUACUUAGUGGCAGACGGGUGAGUAACAUGUAGGUAUCUGCCCUUUGGCCUGGAAUAACACGAGGAAACUUGUGCUAAUACCGGAUAAGUCUUUACAGAGAAAGCUUUAUGCACCAUUGGAUGAGCCUGCACUUGAUUAGUUUGUUGGUGGGGUAAUGGCCUACCAAGACUUUGAUCAAUAGCUGAUUUGAGAGGAUGAUCAGCCACAUUGGGACUGAGACACGGCCCAAACUCCUACGGGAGGCAGCAGUGGGGAAUCUUGCACAGUGGAGGAAACUCUGAUGCAGCGAUGCCGCGUGAGUGAAGAAGGCCCUUGGGUUGUAAAGCUCUUUCGUCGGGGAAGAAAAUGACUGUACCCGAAUAAGAAGGUCCGGCUAACUUCGUGCCAGCCGCCGCGGUAAUU
rnacentral:rRNA from 1 species